rnacentral:rRNA from 1 species
ACGAACGCUGGCGGCGUGCUUAACACAUGCCAGUCGAACGGAAAGGCCCUGCUUUUGUGGGGUGCUCGAGUGGCGAACGGGUGAGUAACACGUGAGUAACCUGCCCUUGACUUUGGGAUAACUUUAGGAAACUGGGGCUAAUACUGGAUAGGAGCUCCUGCUGCAUGGUGGGGGUUGGAAAGUUUCGGCGGUUGGGGAUGGACUCGGGGCUUAUCAGCUUGUUGGUGGGGUAGUGGCUUACCAAGGCUUUGCCGGGUAGCCGGCCUGGGAGGGUGACCGGCCACAUUGGUACUGAGAUACGGCCCAGACGCCUACGGGAGGCAGCGGUGGGGAAUAUUGCACAGUGAGCGGAAGCCUGAUGCAGCGGCUCCGCGUGCGUGAUGACGGCCUUCGGGUUGUAAACCGCUUUCGCCUGUGACGAAGCGUGAGUGACGGUAAUGGGUAAAGAAGCACCGGCUAACUACGUG